rnacentral:rRNA from 1 species
CAGAGUAGCAAUUGGAGGGCAAGUCUGGUGCCAGCAGCCGCGGUAAUUCCAGCUCCAAUAGCGUAUAUUAAACUUGUUGCAGUUAAAAAGCUCGUAGUUGAACUUUAGCGUGUUCGAGUUUGCCAUUCGUUUGGCCUUUUCGAGUUCGCUUUUGGGUUUUCCCUUUUUACUUUGAGAAAAUUAGAGUGUUUCAAGCAGACUUUUGUCUUGAAUACUUCAGCAUGGAAUAAUAGAGUAGGACUUUGGUUCUAUUUUGUUGGUUAUUGAACCUUAGUAAUGGUUAAUAGGAACGGUUGGGGGCAUUCGUAUUUAACUGUCAGAGGUGAAAUUCUUAGAUUUGUUAAAGACGAACUACUGCGAAAGCAUUUGCCAAGGACGUUUCCAUUAAUCAAGAACGAAAGUUAGGGGAUCGAAGACGAUCAGAUACCGUCGUAGUCCUAACCAUAAACCAUGCCGACUAGUGAUUGGAGGUCGUCGUUUUGCUGACCCCUUCAGGAACUUGAGAGAA